rnacentral:rRNA from 1 species
GCGGCAUGCUUUACACAUGCAAGUCGAACGGUAACAGGGAGCUUGCUCCGCUGACGAGUGGCGAACGGGUGAGUAAUAUAUCGGAACGUACCCAAGAGUGGGGGAUAACGUAGCGAAAGUUACGCUAAUACCGCAUACGAUCUAUGGAUGAAAGCAGGGGACCUUCGGGCCUUGUGCUCCUGGAGCGGCCGAUAUCUGAUUAGCUAGUUGGUGAGGUAAAGGCUCACCAAGGCGACGAUCAGUAGCUGGUCUGAGAGGACGACCAGCCACACUGGAACUGAGACACGGUCCAGACUCCUACGGGAGGCAGCAGUGGGGAAUUUUGGACAAUGGGCGCAAGCCUGAUCCAGCAAUGCCGCGUGAGUGAAGAAGGCCUUCGGGUUGUAAAGCUCUUUUGUCAGGGAAGAAACGGCUGUGGCUAAUAUCCACGGCUAAUGACGGUACCUGAAGAAUAAGCACCGGCUAACUACGUGCCAGCAGCCGCGGUAAUACGUAGGGUGCAACCGUUAAUCGGAAUUACUGGGCGUAAAGCGUGCGCAGGCGGUUUUGUAAGUCUGUCGUGAAAUCCCCGGGCUCAACCUGGGAAUUGCGAUGGAGACUGCAAGGCUAGAAUCUGGCAGAGGGGGGUAGAAUUCCACGUGUAGCAGUGAAAUGCGUAGAGAUGUGGAGGAACACCGAUGGCGAAGGCAGCCCCCUGGGUCAAGAUUGACGCUCAUGCACGAAAGCGUGGGGAGCAAACAGGAUUAGAUACCCUGGUAGUCCACGCCCUAAACGAUGUCUACUAGUUGUCGGGUUUUAAUUAACUUGGUAACGCAGCUAACGCGUGAAGUAGACCGCCUGGGGAGUACGGUCGCAAGAUUAAAACUCAAAGGAAUUGACGGGGACCCGCACAAGCGGUGGAUGAUGUGGAUUAAUUCGAUGCAACGCGAAAAACCUUACCUACCCUUGACAUGUCAG